ACACAGUCUGCUGUCUGACUCUGGACCCCAGGUUACACCAGAAUUAUGAAAUUACUGGCAGUUCUUGCUAUUCUCCUAACAUGGGGUAUGAUGAAUGAUGCUAAGACCACACAGCAAAGCUCAUUGCAGAGUACUGAGGGAGAACGUGUGCACUUGCCUUGUGAACACUCCACUAUCGGUGGGAAUGAGUACAUCUACUGGUAUCGACAGAUGCACCACAAGGGUCCAGAGUACCUGAUUCGUGGUUUAAAAACCAAUGGGUCCAAUGACAUGGUUUUUCUGGCCAUUACAACAGACAGAAAAUCCAGCACCUUGAUCCUUCCUCAGGUCGCCAUGAGAGACUCUGCUGUGUACUACUGCAUGGUGGCAGAUGCACAGUGA